GGUUACUUUGUGUGUGUGGGGGGGAGGGGGGGCGAAGCAAGAUGGAAAAGUAGUAUUCAAUGUUAAAUUUCAUUAAAUCCUAAUAUUUUGAAGCCUUACCAUCUAAGAUCUAUGGAAGCAAUUUCAGUAAAAAUAAAAUUAACAUGGAAUCAUCCAAUUUACAAUUAAUUAAAUAUUAAAAUAAAAAGGAAAAUAAAUUAGAAUUUUCUAAAAUUGCCCCCGCAAUAAAAUGGACACCAUCAUGUGUGGCACGAAUUAUUUUUAUAGUAGCUGUCCUCUAUAUAGUAGCUCACUGUGUCCUCUCUAUAGUAGCUGUCCUCUCUAUAUUAGCUGUCAUCUCUAUAGUAGCUCACUGUGUCCUCUCUAUAGUAGCUGUCCUCUCUAUAGUAGCAGUCCUCUCUAUAGUAGCUCUAUAGUAGCUCUAUAGUAACACACUGGGUCCUCUCUAUAUUAGCUCACUGUGUCAUCUCUAUAGUAGCUGUCCUCUCUAUAGUAGCUGUCCUGUUUAUAGUAGCAGUCCUCUAUAUUAGCUGUCCUCUCUAUAGUAGCUCACUGUGUCCUCUCUAUAGUAGCUGUCCUCUCUAUAGUAGCUGUCCUCUCUAUAGUAGCUCACUGUGUCCUCUCUAUAGUAGCUGUCCUCUCUAUAGUAGCUGUCCUCUCUAUAGUAGCUCACUGUAUCCUCUCUAAAGUAGCUGUCCUCUCUAUAGAAGCUCACUGUGUCCUCUCUACUUUAGCUGUCCUCUCUAUAGUAGCUCACUGUGUCCUCUCUACUUUAGCUGUCCUCUCUAUAGUAGCUCACCGUGUUCUGUCUAUAGUAGCUGUCCUCUCUAUAGUAGCUCACUGUGUCCUCUCUACUUUAGCUGUCCUCUCUAUAGUAGCUCACUGUGUCCUCUCUAUAGUAGCUGUCCUCUCUAUAAUGCACUGUGUCCUCUCCCUCUAUAGAACUGCAAAAGUUAUCUAUGAGAAUUCCAUCUCUGAAACAACUUGAAUACGUGAGUCCAGCAAAAGAGUGAUUUGCUCCCGGGUGGUAUCGCUACAGUUGGAGGGGUUGAAAUGCCGUUGAAAAUCGUUUGUUUUCUGAACAAAUUUUUGCUCCGGUGUGGGUCUUUCUGUUAUUAAGUCUAGAUAACAACAACUCUAGAUAAUAAAUCUGAAACAAUGACCUCCUCACUAGCGGUUAAGUUCCUCGCUGCAGCUGUCAUCGUGAAGUAAACCAAGUAGCUAGUUUGUUGAUUGGAUUCCCUCACAGCGGGCAGAACUUUUCAUAAAACGAUAAUAAAGCCCACCCCUUGAGAGGCAAGAAGAUUGGUCAAUUUUACUGCCAGUAGAAAUAAUGGUGUGGUUGAGAGGCCUCGUACACCACCUUCACGAGUUGCUCUUGGAACGUUAUUUUCUGGCUUGUAGUAGCACUUAUAGCUAUACCGUUUGUCUUUGUGGGCAUCGUUACACAACAAUCGGUCAUUGGCCAGUCAUUGUUAUUGUGUCUCGUUGAAUUACUAUUACUCGACCUCUACCAAUCACAGAGUUGCAAAGCAUUUUCCUUCCCAACAACUGCAGUCAGCAGCCUUCUAAGAGGCUGACAAAGGGCUUAUUAAAUUGAACCUUACUAAUUGAAUCGGCCGUUUUGAAGGUUUAAUUCCUCAGAAACAUUUUUGUUUAGAUGUUGAUUGUAAAAUAAUUAAUGAUUAAAAUAAAUUAGAAUAUCUAGAAUAUCUUAGGCCCUUUGUAGAGGGCAAUGACAGUUCCCCUCUGAUAAAUAUAUAAAGAGGCACCAGCAGAUUAUUGACUCCAAGUGUGGACUCUGUAAAUAAUGUCCAAAGCAAACCUGAAGUCAGUCAUUAAUGUGCAUAUCACAGUAGAAAAAUAAAUAAGCACAUAAUAUAAUAAGCAAUUUAUACUGAAUGUAAGUUACUUAAUCUAUAUAAUUUAUAGGGUUAGAUCUUUAGAUUAUCAAUCAUUUAUAUUGUUAUCUAAUUAUAAAAUAAUAUUGUAAUCUAAGAAAUUACACCGUAGACACAAUUUAAUUAAUGUCUAUAGUAUAACCCCAUGAGCACAUUCAAAAGGUUUGGUUUCUUCAAUAAUAGAUGUUAUGUACAUAUGUAUAUAUACAGUAUUUCAUACACUGCCAAUUUUGCAGGUUUUCCCACUUACAAAGCAUGUAGAAAUCUGUCAUUUGUAUCAUAGGUACUCUUCAACUGUGAGUGGCGGAAUCUAAAACAAAAAUCCAGAAAAUCACAUUGUAUGAUUUUUAAGUAAUUCAUUUGUAUUUUAUUGCAUGAGAUAAGUAUUUGAUACAUCAGAAAAGCAGAACUUAAUAUUUGGUACAGAAACCGUUGUUUGCAAUUACAGUGAUCAUACGUUUCCUGUAGUUCUUGAUCAGGUUUGCACACACUGCAGCAGGGAUUUUGGCCCACUCCUCCAUACAGACCUUCUCCAGAUCCUUCAGGUUUCAGGGCUGUCGCUGGCCAAUACGGACUUUCAGCUCCCUCUAAAGAUUUUCUAUUGGGUUCAGGUCUGGAGACUGGCUAGGACCUUGAGAUGCUUCUUACGGAGCGACUCCUUAGUUGCCCUGGCUGUGUGUUUCGGGUCGUUGUCAUGCUGGAACACCCAGCCACGACCCGUCUUCAAUGCUCUUACUGAAGGAAGGAGGUUGUUGGCCAAGAUCUCGCAAUACAUGGCCCCAUCCAUCCUCCCCUUAAUAUGGUGCAGUCGUCCUGUCCCCUUUGCAGAAAAGCAUCCCCAAAGAAGGAUGUUCCCACCUCCAUGCUUCACGGUUGGGAUGGUGUUCUUGGGGUUGUACUCAUCCUUCUUCUUCCUCCAAACACGGUGAGUGGAGUUUAGACCAAAAAGCUAUAUUUUUGUCUCAGACCACAUGACCUUCUCCCAUUCCUCCUCUUGAUCAUCCAGAUGGUCAUUGGCAAACUUCAGACGAGCCUGGACAUGCGCUGGCUUGAGCAGGGGGACCUUGCGUUUCUGGGCUGAUCCCUCACCUUCCUCAUGAUCAUUGAUGCCCCAUGAGGUGAGAUCUUGCAUGGAGAUCUUGCACGGUCUCCCCAGACCGAGGGAGAUUGACCGUCAUCUUGAACUUCUUCCAUUUCUAAUAAUUGCGCCAACAGUUGUUGCCUUCUGACCAAGCUUCUUGCCUAUUGUCCUGUAGCCCAUCCCAGCCUUGUGCAGGUCUACAAUUCUAUGCCUGAUGUCCUUACACAGCUCUCUGGUCUUUGCCAGUGUGGAGAGGUUGGAGUAUGUUUGAUUGAGUGUGUGGACAGGUGUCUUUUAUACAUGUAACAAGUUCAAAAAGGUGCAGUUAAUACAGGUAAUGAGUGGAGAACAGGAGGGCUUCUUAAAGAAUAACUAACAGGUCUGUGAGAGCUGGAAUUCUUACUGGUUGGUAGGUGAUCAAAUACUUAUGUCAUGCAAUAAAAUGCAAAUUAAUUACAUAAAAAUCGUACAAUUUGAUUUUCUGGAUUUUUGUUUUAGAUUCCUUCUCUCACAGUUGAAUUGCACCUAUGAUAAAAAAUGAGAGACCUCUAAAUGCUUUGUAAGUGGGAAAACCUGCAAAAUCGGCAGUGUAUGAAAUACUUGUUCUCCCCACUGUAUAUCCAUAUAGAUACACAUACUGUAUACAACACGGUACCUGGCCAAUGCAGAUCCCAGGACGAACGCGGAGCGGUCCUGCAGCCUGAAGUCAGAGCUGUUGAGACCUCCUAGAAGGAGCUGUAGUCCCCCCAUGGAGCACAGCGUCUGGGCAUUAUCCACCUACACACAAACAACACACAUACACAUGCACACACACGUUUUUUUAGUAGAUCAUUGUCCAAAAUAAUAAAAAGAAAUGUUCUGCAACUGUAGCAACUAACAUCAGGGUUUAAGAGGAUGGCAACCAUAAUAUAUAAUAUAAUAAUAUAUGAAGCUGAAAUACUGCUUACCAUUUGGAGAUGGUGUUUUUAUGUUGCAGUGUACAAUGGGGCGCGAUGCAGUUAAGCUAAGUCAAUCUAUAAGAAUGUAACACUUUAAUUAAACAAUUAGUUUAGGUUUUAAAUUUGUUUCCACCUGAAUUAAAAUUGUAUAUGUGCUACCGCGUUGUCACCCAACCAAGGGUGGGCUACAACAGAGGUGGUAUAAAAUAGGUCCCACAUAAAGGGGCGACCAUCAUGUGCUGCGUGGGCGGGACCUAAGGUCUACGCACUCCACGACAGAAAGACCCCCAGUCUGCAGAACCGACACCCAGAUAUUGUUCCUGUGAUAUAAUUCACAAAGCCAGCAUGUCACACCGCGGUCACUUGCCCUUCCUCCUGUGUCACCGGUCUGGUGACUCCCCUGAUUCCUGAUUGUUUCCACCUGUGUCUCCCAUCCUCAUGUGUAUAUAGGCUUUGUCUUCCCUUGUCGUUGUUGCCAGAGUAUUUUGUUCGUCACGGUCCAUGUACCUCCAGCUCCUGACCCAGCCUUGUUAUUGCCACGACCUGAACCAAGAAUCAGAGUUGAGUUCUCGCUUCUCGUUUUUUUCCACGUAAGCAUGAUUAUCGUUUCUUGUGUUUUGUUAAGUUUUUGAUCACUUGUUUUGACGAGAGGACAGGGAGUCCGAAAUAAAGUUUGUUUGGACGGUU